rnacentral:rRNA from 1 species
AUUGAACGCUGGCGGCAGGCCUAACACAUGCAAGUCGAACGGUAACGGGAAGAAGCUUGCUUCUUUGCUGACGAGUGGCGGACGGGUGAGUAAUGUCUGGGAACUUGCUUGAUGGAGGGGGUAACUUACGGGAACCGGAAGUAAUACCCGCAUAACGUCGCAAGCCCAAAAAGGGGGACUUCCGGGCCGUUUUCCUUUGGAUUAUCCCAGGUUGGAUUAGCCAGUAGGUGGGGUAACGGCUAACAUAGUCAACGAUCCCUAGCUGGUCUGAGAGGAUGACCAGCCACACUGGAACUGAGACACGGUCCAGACUCCUACGGGAGGCAGCAGUGGGGAAUAUUGCACAAUGGGCGAAAGCCUGAUGCAGCCAUGCCGCGUGUAUGAAGAAGGCCUUCGGAUUGUAAAGUACUUUCAGCGGGGAGGAAGGGAGUAAAGUUAAUACCUUUGCUCAUUGACGUUACCCGCAGAAGAAGCACCGGCUAACUCCGUG